ensembl:lncRNA
GUUACCUUAUUUGUACUGAUCUCUUAUCUGCAUUCAUAGAAAAUAAGGCUUUAAUGUUACAAAUGCUGCACCAAGCCCAAUUCACUUCAGUGGAUUCAAUAAAAACACAGAAGCCCAUCUGUGCUCACUGCAGAAACAGCACUGAGUACUUUAAGCUUGAUCUUAUCAUCAAGUUUAAUUAGAAUCACUGGGACUUAGCAUAGGUGUAAAGAACCAUCAUGUUGAUCUACUUGCGGGAUCAUAGCCUUAAUGUAAAGACAUACAGCAUUUUGUUAUUACUUCAAAUAAUCCAAGUUGAUCUCCUUUCAAGAAAUAAGAUCUGAUCUUCCAGGUGGCUCUGAACAGGUAGGAACACAUUCUUUCCACAAGCAUUAACUGUCACUCAUAAGUCACAGUUUCUCCUCAUAAGAGUAGAUAAGAACAGGAAUUAUUCUCCCUCCCCUCCAGCACUCUUUUCGCACUCACUGCAAGUCUUCCCAGGGUCCAGAAUUAAUAAAACAGAUAAUGUUUGUUGCACUCCACUCCUCAAGGCAUCUGCCUACAUUGCUGCGUGAUAAUAUGCUACAUCUAGCCCUGGGUAAUAGGUAUGUAAAUCCAGAAGGCAAUUUUUAACUAUAAAGCACACUGCAAUUGGUUGCAGAUCUAUGAUUAUGUCAUAGUAACUCACUCAAAAAUGUUAAGAUUAGCUAUGUAAUUAAAAGAGUAUUAAAUGAAUAGUUUAGGAAUACACAACAUUUGCAAGCAGGCACAAGAAGAGCUAAAUGAACUUACAUAGUCACUUUAGUUUUAUCUUCGGAAACGUCCUCUUGUCCUCCUCACUGUCAGCGGUACAUCAGCAACAGCCUCAGAGCUCUCAUGCUCUCUCUCAGGAGGUAGGGUUUUAUUUGUUUAUAUGUAUAUUUUUGGUUGUUUUUUUUUCUUUCUGUUCAUUAGAUUUUUUUAAAAUAUGGAAUUCCCUUUGAGAAAUCACCCACUCAGAUUAACUUCUAAGAAAUACUGUGGAAGAAGUGAGUUUCCAAUAAAGGAAACAACAUUCUAAAGCUAAACACACUAAAAUUACCCACACCUUUGAUGUUUUUCCUGAUUUAGCAUUUUCUUUAGUAAACAUCAGCAAGGCCUGGUCUAAAAAAGAUUAUGAUAUUAAGCUCUUUUUUUAAUCCAACCUCAACACAUUUCCUUCUCAAUUCAUUGCAAGAAUUAUUACUGGAAGCUCUUGAAGAAAAGCACUCUCCUACACCCACAAUUAUCUGAGAAGCAAAAUAGGAAGGUAAAGAGUAAAAACUUAUAAAAAUUAAAAUUUAUGUGUAUGUGUUCAUCUCAUUUUUCCCAUGCCUGAUAUCUCUAGGAUUUCAUAGGGUUUUUAGAGGAUCCAUCUUAGAAUAACUAUUAAAAUACAAGAGCAAUGUUUCUAUGUCUACAAAUCAGGGAGAACAGAUAUCAACAUUACUGAAAAGAUAAUGGAGAAAAGAAAAAAGAAAAAAAAAACUGAAAGCUAACAGCAGGACUACAUUUCUUUUAUACACUUACCAUUAUUACUAAGCAAAGAAACUUAGAGAAAAUACUCACAUAAAUUAGACUUGUGCUCUCACUUUGCAGGUGAAGAGUGGAAAAAAAAGAGAGGGAAAAGGAUUUUCUUUAACAGAUAUCGAUAUUGCUUGCAAACCUAAUUCAUCUUUCCCCUAUCAAAAAAAGUUCAUUAAUUUCUACAUCUUAUUUUGUGCCUAAAAAUUUUGGGGCUGGGCUAAAACUGCUGUACCCUCACUCACCUACUAACAGGUGGAUCUCAUUUCUUCCCUCAUGUUAUCCAUACCAAUCACAUUUAUACGCUGUUGUCCCUCUAGAAUACAUCACUAAUUUAAACAGGCAAAACUAAACAGAAGCUUAAAGAAAAACUUUUUUUCCUGGUAAUAUCUUGAUGUCAAGAAGUAUAACAGUACAAUGAUUAGAUGUGUCUGCUGCUCUUCACAUACCUUCCAUCCUAAUUUCUGCAUGCAUCACUCAGUGAAAUCAGGCUCUCCCUUUCAUUAUAUAAAGGACUGAUUAAACCUAGUCUAAAAAAUAUCUUGCAUUUUGCUUACAAAAUCCUUAAUAUUUUGCUAAUGAGUUCUGUAAUAUGCCCAAGGAUUCAUAAGGUACACUUGUGUAGUGGAAAUGCUAAGUCAGGGCCUGAACCAGUGAUUGAGCACCUGGUGGGAAGGCAGUGCCGACCCAGGGGAGCUCAGGUGAAUGUAAUGCCCCUGAGUGACCAGAAGGAUUGGAGCCAGGAUCCACUCCUUCCCAGACCUCAUUUAAGGGUUGGCAGUGGAGGUGAGGGCAUCUCUUGCUGGAGAUCUAUGCUUACUUGAGGCCCUCCAAAGUUCUACAGCAAACAGACUAUGAUGGGCCUGCAGCCACACAGCAAUGCACUGAAAUGAGUGCAGCAAGCACAAACACUUGCAUGAAGAUGUACCUAUCGAAAAUACCUCAACUUGUACAAGCCUGGCAGGAACGGUAUAGGAAAAAACAGUUUUAAUUACCUCCACGUAGCGUUUUGCAUGAGCUCAAUUAGCCUACCGUAACGUCUGAAAUGAGGGUGGAAUGCGAAUGCACGUGUGUGUACAGAACAGGCAGCAAAAGCGUUUAUGAACAGGUGGAACAACACGCAGGCAGGAAACCGAGAAUCAAAGCGGGUGCCGCGUGCCGCCGAGGGAAGAGGCACCACUUCCUCACAGGCGUUGCCCUCGAAGCUCUCAGAGCUCUCUGGGGACUCAGCGGGCACUGCCGGCCCCCGAACUCACCCGGCACCCGCACGCUGUCGCUCAGCCCUUUUACGCUUCGGGGAACCGCGUUCGCCGCCCCCGCUCGCCGUAACCUGCCGGCCCGCCGCUCCCGGUCCCAGGGUGGCGCGUGGAUGCCUUCCCUGCGGCCGCGAGGCAGCCGGGCUCGGGCCAGCUACAAGCGGCCGGGGGGUUUCAGCUGCCCUCAGCAGCGGCUGGCCGAGCCCCAGAGACCCUCAGCAUCAGGGGUUUGCCACGCGCCGUCCUCCCCCAGCCAUCGCUGAGGGAAACAACGGGACUCUGGGAACCGGAGAUUCACGGGAGGAGGAAACGCAGGAGGGAGGCGGCGGGAAGCCGGGGGCUGAGGGGAG